CUGUAGAUGGAAAAGGGACUACAUCAUCAAGCUGAUUCAGUUCUACAAGUUCAAAUCUGGGACUCGUGAGUUGUACAUGGAGGAUGAAACAGAAAUUGAGAACUCUCUGCUGAACAUUGAAACAAAACACCGCAUUGGGAGAAGAUGGAAAGAAUCUGAUCUAGACUUCCAGUCUACCCUUAAAGAUGUUGACAGUGACCUCAGAGGCCAACUUAUAUGCAAGGCUAGAACUGAAUCAAGGGAGAGAGCAGUCCUCCUCCAUCUGAAAAGAAAAUAUCCAGAUGGGUAGGGCAUUGCCAUUAGACUGUCCAAGCAGGUAGCCAACUCCAACAACAGACUGAGACAAGCAAUCAAGGAAUACAACAGUAUUCAGUGGCCACCGCAGAUGAGCAUCUUCCCUGCAACAAUUGAUUUUCAGGAAGCAUGCGAUCCCUCUUGGCCUGUCUACUUCUGCUCUGAUGACAC